GCGGAGUUUGGAGGCAAUUUGGUGGUGUCGCUGCUGUUCACAGUUCGCCGAAUGACUGCAGAAUGUAUCGCCGGAAGAAUCUGCUGCCGAAAUCGUUUCUUCACAGCUUAGUGACGACGCGGCUGAUCGAACCUAACGACGGGACUUCACAAACAAAAAAGUGCUGCAUAGGGCUGUAGUGCCGAAGGAAGGCUGAAAAAUGUGUCGGUAGGUAUAGUGGUGUUUUUAUCGUGUUGUUUGCGUGUGUUUUUUUACAUAUAAUAAAUA